rnacentral:rRNA from 1 species
AGAUUGAACGCUGGCGGCAUGCCUUACACAUGCAAGUCGAACGGCAGCACGGGAGCAAUCCUGGUGGCGAGUGGCGAACGGGUGAGUAAUAUAUCGGAACGUGCCCAGUCGUGGGGGAUAACGCAGCGAAAGCUGUGCUAAUACCGCAUACGAUCUAUGGAUGAAAGCGGGGGAUCGCAAGACCUCGCGCGAUUGGAGCGGCCGAUAUCAGAUUAGCUAGUUGUGGGGUAAAAGCCUACCAAGGCGACGAUCUGUAGCUGGUCUGAGAGGACGACCAGCCACACUGGAACUGAGACACGGUCCAGACUCCGUACGGGAGCAGCAGUGGGGAAUUUGGACAAU